rnacentral:rRNA from 1 species
CAGUAGCCGCGGUAAUACGGAGGGUGCAAGCGUUACUCGGAAUCACUGGGCGUAAAGGACGCGUAGGCGGAUUAUCAAGUCUCUUGUGAAAUCUAACGGCUUAACCGUUAAACUGCUUGGGAAACUGAUAACCUAGAGUAAGGGAGAGGCAGAUGGAAUUCUUGGUGUAGGAGUAAAAUCCGUAGAUAUCAAGAAGAAUACCUAUUGCGAAGGCGAUCUGCUGGAACUUAACUGACGCUAAUGCGUGAAAGCGUGGGGAGCAAACAGGAUUAGAUACCCCGGUAGUCCCUGUCUCUUAUAC